rnacentral:rRNA from 1 species
AUUGAACGCUGGCGGCAGGCCUAACACAUGCAAGUCGAACGAGUGGGGGACGGGUGAGUAAUAUGUGGGAAAAUGCGCGAGGGGGGGGGAGAAAUCCUGGAAACGGUAGCUAAUACAGCACACCAUAGGAGGUGCGCAGAUGGGAUUUGCUAGUAGGUGGGGUAACGGCGCACCCCGGCGACGAUCCCUAGCUGGUCUGAGAGGAUGACCAGCCACACUGGAACUGAGACACGGUCCAGACUCCUACGGGAGGCAGCAGUGGGGAAUAUUGCACAAUGGGCGCAAGCCUGAUGCAGCCAUGCCGCGUGUAUGAAGAAGGCCUUCGGGUUGUAAAGUACUUUCAGCGAGGAGGCGUUACUCGCAGAAGAAGCACCGGCUAACUCCGUGCCAGCAGCCGCGGUAAUUC